UGGGGAAUAUUGGACAAUGGGCGCAAGCCUGAUCCAGCCAUGCCGCGUGAGUGAUGAAGGCCCUAGGGUUGUAAAGCUCUUUUGUGCGGGAAGAUAAUGACGGUACCGCAAGAAUAAGCCCCGGCUAACUUCGUGCCAGCAGCCGCGGUAAUACGAAGGGGGCUAGCGUUGCUCGGAAUCACUGGGCGUAAAGGGUGCGUAGGCGGGUCUUUAAGUCAGGGGUGAAAUCCUGGAGCUCAACUCCAGAACUGCCUUUGAUACUGAAGAUCUUGAGUUCGGGAGAGGUGAGUGGAACUGCGAGUGUAGAGGUGAAAUUCGUAGAUAUUCGCAAGAACACCAGUGGCGAAGGCGGCUCACUGGCCCGGUACUGACGCUGAGGCACGAAAGCGUGGGGAGCAAACA
rnacentral:rRNA from 1 species